GCUGGGCAUGGUGGUGCAUGCCUCUAAUCCCAGCUACUCGGGAGGCUGAGGUAGGAGAAUCGCUUGAACCCGGGAGGCAGAGGUUGCAGUGAGCCGAGAUUGUGCCACUGCAAUCCAGCCUGGGUGACAGAGUGAGACUCCAUCUCAA
rnacentral:SRP_RNA from 1 species